rnacentral:lncRNA from 1 species
ACUGCAAAGAAAGUAAAAAAAAUAAUUUUUACAAUAUUAAUAAUUGCAGUAAAAUAAAUUAGGAAAAAAAAAAAAAAGACAAGAUCUAUUUAUCUAUUCCAGAGAACAACGAGGUAUGAGCCUCCUUUUUUUUUUUUUUUUUUUUUUCCUGCUGUAUUUCCAAGGUCAAACAAAGCCCUUGGCUGCACAAGGUAACAACUAUGAGCACACACCUAGAAGGCAGCUCUAUGGCAACACAGCACCUGUGGGCAGGAAUUCUUGUCACAAUCAUCUCAGUCACUGAAACUGCUGGAGUCCAAGAUUUGCAGCAAGCAAAGUGGAGUGGCUGGUGUGCCAGGCUCAGCCUCUGUUCAGCGCCACUUGACUCACAAAGAAUGAAGGCCUGGGAGGAAAACUCCAGGUUUGGCACAGAGCCCCCAGAGCUUAUGUGUGCUCACAACACAAUGCAGAUGCCACAGCUGUACAUCUACUGCCAUCAACAGCACAGGCAGAAGGUUUCUCACAACCGAUAUUUCCUAAUUUACUAAGAGGAGAACCAGAAAGCAAGGACCUCUUACCCUGCCACUACACAUCACGACAGACCAGCUGGUGUGUCUGGGACAGGGGUGGCCCCCAGCCCACCUCCCAGGUCGCUCCACCAAGGCAAAGGAAUUCCCUGCCAGUUACUGCAGGACUGAUGAUGGUUAUUUUACCUAAUGUGGCUACAUUUUCCUGAAGCUAACUGGGGAGUUUUCAUUGCUCCACUAACGGAGACCUGGAAUACAUAUAUGUAUGUAUCUUGGUAGGACAGAAAGGGACCAAAAAUAGCUGCAGGUCAAUAAUCUUUUAUGCUGGCACAGCUGGAUGUGGGAGCUGAAGCUCCAUGACUUAAAUUUAAAGCACAGAAUUGCACAGUAAAAAAGCUGUUCCUACCUAUCAGAGGCUUCAAUCGUUUCCUUUCCUCUUAAUUAGCCUUAUAUGUUGUAGCAGGAGGAGGAGCCGUGGAGGCAGAUGUGGAGAACUGCAAAAACAGCAACAGUUCAGAGAAGCCACGGUUUGCACCAGUUGAUGUAGCUUUUAGGUCUUUGAGAUCUAUGUGGCAGGUCUGUUGGAAAGAGCAUUAGUGCUAACACAGGUCAAAUUAUGCUCUUACCCAUAACUGCUACAGAGCUACAACAACCUCAUCCAUAGCCCCAGGAGCAGAUCCCAGGCUGGGGCAUUGCCAGGAGUCACUUUUGCAGUGCAGCUUGACCUGGGAAUGAGCCCUCCAGGCAGCAAUGGCAUUUUCUAACCUGAUACUCGAGCUCCUCCAUGUGGCAAACAGCAGGCUUAAUCUUUUCUGUAUGUAACAAAG